rnacentral:tRNA from 1 species
ACUUAGAUAGUUUAAUAAAAAUUUGGAUUUGUGGGCUCUGAGAUAAACAUUAGUUUUCUAAGUU